rnacentral:rRNA from 1 species
CCUUAUGGUACUGCGGAGGACAUUAUUGAAUUAAUGUAGAGUUUGGUUGUAGCUGGCUCCUAAUUAAACUUGGGGGCAUGUGCACACCUUUCUCUUUCAUCCCAUACACACCUGUGCACCUGUGAGACAGAUGUUUUGUGGGGGGGAAGGAACUUUAUUGGACCUUCUACUCCCCCUUGACUUCUGUCUACUUAAUUCAUAUAAACUCAAUUUAUUUUAAAACGGAUGUAAUGGAUGUAACACAUCUAAUACUAAGUUUCAACAACGGAUCUCUUGGCUCUCGCAUCGAUGAAGAACGCAGCGAAAUGCGAUAAGUAAUGUGAAUUGCAGAAUUCAGUGAAUCAUCGAAUCUUUGAACGCACCUUGCGCUCCUUGGUAUUCCUUGGAGCAUGCCUGUUUGAGUAUCAUGAAAUCUUCAAAGUCAAACCUUUUGUUAAUUCAAUUGGUUCUGCUUUGGUAUUGGAGGAUUAUUGCAGCUUCACACCUGCUCCUCUUUGUGCAUUAGCUGGAUCUCAGUGUUAUGCUUGGUUCCACUCAGCGUGAUAAGUUAUCUAUCGCUGAGGACACCCUGUUAAAAAGGGGUGGCCAAGGUAAAUGCAGAUGAACCGCUUCUAAUAGUCCAUUGACUUGGACAAUAUCUAAUUUAUGAUCUGAUCUCAAAUCAGGUAGGACUACCCGCUGAACUUAAGCAUACUA